rnacentral:tRNA from 2 species
GGGGACGUAGCUCAAUUGGUAGAGCGCCUGCUUUGCAAGCAGGAGGUCGUGGGUUCGAUUCCCAUCGUCACCACCA